rnacentral:rRNA from 1 species
AACGAACGCUGGCGGCGUGCCUAACACAUGCAAGUCGUACGAGAAACACAUCCUUCGGGGUGUGGAGUAAAGUGGCGCACGGGUGAGUAACACGUGGGUAACCUGCCCUCGGGAUCGGGAUAACUGGCCGAAAGGCCCGCUAAUACCGGAUAAGACCACAAGAACCACGGCUCUUGAGGUAAAAGUCGGCCUCUCAUAGAAGCCGGCGCCUGAAGAUGGGCCCGCGGACCAUUAGCUAGUUGGUAAGGUAACGGCUUACCAAGGCCGAGAUGGGUAGCGGGUCUGAGGGGAUGAUCAGCCACACUGGAACCGAGAUACGGGCCAGACUCCUACGGGAGGCAGCAGUGAGGAAUAUUGCGCAAUGGAGGAAACUCUGACGCAGCAACGCCGCGUGAGUGAAGAAGGCUUUCGGGUUGUAAGGCUCUGUCAGGUGGGAAGAAACCUCUAUAGUUAAAUAGACUAUAGAACUGACGGUACCACCAAAGGAAGCACCGGCUAACUCCGUGCCAGCAGCCGCAGUAA